UUGGUUCUGACUGUAAAUGAUACAUUUACAGUUAAACACUGUUAGGCUCAUAUUGGCAGUUUGCAAGAGGAUAGGCAUUUGAUGGCGGGAGGAGGAGAGCGAACCCAGCAUUCAUCCACUCAAUAAAGAGAUCGAAUCAACCUUGAAGUGAGGUGAGGAGAGAAAGCUGCAAAAACAACAUUUUGAUGCUUCCUGGGGAUCAACCCAACGUCUGGCACAAAGGCCACAAAGUGGAUCAGUCCAAGAAGUGGGAAGGUGCAAGAGAAGUGGAACAGCAAUGUCAACCUUCAUGUCUCUGCACUUCUAAAAAGGUUAAUGGACUUUGAAUGGCUUUGAGCCCGUUUGCAAAAGAAACAAUAAUGGCACACUGUUUUGUAUAAAAAAAACAAAAAAACAAUGGUUCCAAGAUGUGGUUAUUUUUUACACAUUUGACUUUGUUGCUGCAAAUUACAGUAGUUAAUUUAAAGUUACACUGUGUGGCUGCAAGUCUUGUGCAGUCUGGUGUAUGUUUAUGUGAGUUUGUUCAUGUCUGUGUGAGUUUGAAAAUAUACACAUCG